AGUGGGGAAUAUUGGGCAAUGGGCGAAAGCCUGACCCAGCAACGCCGCGUGAAGGAAGAAGGUUUUCGGAUUGUAAACUUCUGUCCUCAGGGAAGAAGGAAGUGACGGUACCUGAGGAGGAAGCCCCGGCUAACUACGUGCCAGCAGCCGCGGUAAUACGUAGGGGGCGAGCGUUGUCCGGAAUGACUGGGCGUAAAGGGCGCGUAGACGGCUUUUUAAGUCUGGAGUGAAAGUCCUGCUUUCAAGGUGGGAAUUGCUUUGGAGACUGGAAGGCUUGAGUGCGGAAGAGGUAAGUGGAAUUCCCAGUGUAGCGGUGAAAUGCGUAGAGAUUGGGAGGAACACCAGUGGCGAAGGCGACUUACUGGGCCGUAACUGACGUUGAUGCGCGAAAGCGUGGGGAGCGAACAGGAUUAGAUACCCUGGUAGUCCACGCGGUAAACGAUGAGUGCUAGGUGUAGCGGGUAUCGACCCCUGCUGUGCCGGAGUUAACACAAUAAGCACUCCGC
rnacentral:rRNA from 1 species